rnacentral:snoRNA from 1 species
GCUAGCCAACGCUGCCCCGAGAAACUUCAAUAUGAAGCAGACGUUCAGACAUAGUCGAAGCGAUUCCAUUUCACGCCCGAUUAUAUCACUCAACGUCGGACAU